CAUUCUUCGGAAUGUGGAAGAGUGGCGAACGGGUGAGGAACACGUAAGAAUCUGCCCCUCGGUCGGGGACAACUUUUGGAAACGAAAGCUAAUACCCGAUACGCUGUGGAGUGAAAGAAUUUCGCCGAGGGAUGAUCUUGCGUCUGAUUAGCUAGUUGGUGCGGUAAUGGCGCACCAAGGCGACGAUCAGUAGCUGGUCUGAGAGGAUGAACAGCCACAUUGGAACUGAGACACGGUCCAAACUCCUACGGGAGGCAGCAGUGGGGAAUUUUCCGCAAUGGACGAAAGUCUGACGGAGCGACGCUGCGUGAAGGAUGACGGCCUGCGGGUUGUAAACUUCUUUUCUCGAAGAAGAAGCUCUGACGGUAUUCGAGGAAUAAGCAUCGGCUAACUCCGUGCCAGCAGCCGCGGUAAGACGGAGGAUGCGAGUGUUAUUCGGAAUGAUUGGGCGUAAAGCGUCUGUAGGCUGUAUAGAAAGUCUUUUGUUAAAUACCUCGGCUCAACCGAGAUCCAGCA
rnacentral:rRNA from 1 species